rnacentral:tRNA from 1 species
GGGUAUAGCUCAAAUGGUAGAGUGCAUGUUUAGCAUGCAUGAAGUCCUAGGUUCAAUCCCCAGUAUGUCCU